UACGUAGGGUGCGAGCGUUGUCCGGAAUUAUUGGGCGUAAAGAGUUUGUAGGCGGUUUGUCGCGUCUGCCGUGAAAGCCCAGGGCUUAACCCUGGGUCUGCGGUGGGUACGGGCAGACUAGAGUGUGGUAGGGGAGACUGGAAUUCCUGGUGUAGCGGUGAAAUGCGCAGAUAUCGGGAGGAACACCGGUGGCGAAGGCGGCCUUCUGGACAGUGACUGACGCUGAGGCGCGAAAGCGUGGGGAGCAAACAGG
rnacentral:rRNA from 1 species